rnacentral:rRNA from 1 species
UGUAGCUUGACAUUGGGUCUUGGUACUACAUGUACAGGAUAGGUGGGAGGCUUUGAAACCAGGACGCCAGUUUUGGCGGAGCCAUCCUUGGGAUACCACCCUUGUAGUACUGGGACUCUAACCAUAGGCCAUGAAUCUGGUCUUGGGACACUGUCAGGUGGGCAGUUUGACUGGGGCGGUCGCCUCCCAAAAGGUAACGGAGGCGCUCAAAGGUUCUCUCAGUACGGUCGGAAAUCGUACGUAGAGUGUAAAGGCAAAAGAGAGCUUGAUUGCAAGACAUACAGGUCGAGCAAGGAUGAAAAUCGGACUUAGUGAUCCGGUGGUUCUGCGUGGAAGGGCCAUCGCUCAACGGAUAAAAGCUACCCUGGGGAUAACAGGCUUAUCUCCCCAAAGAGUCCACAUCGACGGGGAGGUUUGGCACCUCGAUGUCGGCUCAUCACAUCCUGGGGCUGUAGUAGGUCCCAAGGGUUGGGCUGUUCGCCCAUUAAAGUGGUACGCGAGCUGGGUUCAGAACGUCGUGAGACAGUUCGGUCCCUAUCCGUCGCAGGCGUAGGAAAUUUGAGAAGACC